GGACAUGUGGACAGUAUGGGAGUGAGAAUGUUGGCAUGAGUAGCGAGAUGUGGGUGAGAAUCCCACAGGCCGUAAACCCAAGGUUUCCAGGGGAAGGUUCGUCCGCCCUGGGUUAGUCGGGACCUAAGCUGAGGCCGAAAGGCGUAGGUGAUGGACAACAGGUUGAUAUUCCUGUACUACCGAUAACCGUUUGAGAGAAGGGAUGACACAGUAGGAUAAGCUAAGCACACUGUUGGUUAUGUGUGCCCAAGCAUUGAGGCAGUCAAAGCAGGCAAAUCCGCUUUGAUAAUGCUGGGAUGUGAUGGGGAGCGAAAUUUAGUAGCGAAGUAGCUGAUUUCACACUGUCAAGAAAAGUCUCUAUCGAGGUUAAAGGUACCCGUACCGCAAACCGACACAGGUGGGUGAGGAGAGUAUCCUAAGGCCAGCGAGAGAACUGUUGUUAAGGAACUCGGCAAAAUGACCCCGUAACUUAGGGAUAAGGGGUGCCACCAUCCGGUGGCCGCAGAGAAUAGGCCCAAGCGACUGUUUACCAAAAACAUAGGUUUCUGCUAAGUCGCAAGACGAUGUAUAGGAGCUGACGCCUGCCCGGUGCUGGAAGGUUAAGGGGAUCUGUUAGAGCAAUCGAAGCAGUGAACUUAAGCCCCAGUAAACGGCGGCCGUAACUAUAACGGUCCUAAGGUAGCGAAAUUCCUUGUCGGGUAAGUUCCGACCCGCACGAAAGGCGUAACGAUUUGGGCACUGUCUCAACAACAGACUCGGUGAAAUUGUAAUUCCGGUGAAGAUGCCGGAUACCUGCGACAGGACGGAAAGACCCCAUGGAGCUUUACUGUAGCUUGACAUUGGGUCUUGGUACUACAUGUACAGGAUAGGUGGGAGGCUUUGAAACCAGGACGCCAGUUUUGGCGGAGCCAUCCUUGGGAUACCACCCUUGUAGUACUGGGACUCUAACCAUAGGCCAUGAAUCUGGUCUUGGGACACUGUCAGGUGGGCAGUUUGACUGGGGCGGUCGCCUCCCAAAAGGUAACGGAGGCGCUCAAAGGUUCUCUCAGUACGGUCGGAAAUCGUACGUAGAGUGUAAAGGCAAAAGAGAGCUUGAUUGCAAGACAUACAGGUCGAGCAAGGAUGAAAAUCGGACUUAGUGAUCCGGUGGUUCUGCGUGGAAGGGCCAUCGCUCAACGGAUAAAAGCUACCCUGGGGAUAACAGGCUUAUCUCCCCCAAGAGUCCACAUCGACGGGGAGGUUUGGCACCUCGAUGUCGGCUCAUCACAUCCUGGGGCUGUAGUAGGUCCCAAGGGUUGGGCUGUUCGCCCAUUAAAGUGGUACGCGAGCUGGGUUCAGAACGUCGUGAGACAGUUCGGUCCCUAUCCGUCGCAGGCGUAGGAAAUUUGAGAAGACCUGUCCUUAGU
rnacentral:rRNA from 1 species